UUAUAUAAUCAGUAAAAGUGCCUUCCCCAAACACAGACUGACUGGUCUUCGGUCGAGGGUAUACUAGUAGCUGCGCUGCCUUGCUAGAACCUCCAAACAAGCUCUCAAGAAAGUGUUACGGUCAGGAGUGGAGGAGACAGUCUGGUGGCUGGUCAUACAGAAAACUUCCAUGCCUGAGGCUGGCUCCGACGUACUAGGUUCAUUCCCC
rnacentral:snRNA from 1 species